UACGUAGGGGGCAAGCGUUAUUCGGAAUUAUUGGGCGUAAAGCGCGCGUAGGCGGCCCGGUAAGUCCGUUGUGAAAGUCAAAGGCUCAACCUUUGAACGCCGAUGGAUACUGCCGGGCUAGAGUCCGGAAGAGGCGAGUGGAAUUCCUGGUGUAGCGGUGGAAUGCGCAGAUAUCAGGAGGAACACCAAUAGCGAAGGCAGCUCGCUGGGACGGUACUGACGCUGAGGCGCGAAAGCGUGGGGAGCGAACGGG
rnacentral:rRNA from 1 species